GACUUCCUGCUGUGGUGGACUGACUUCUCCCGUGGUAGACUGUCCCCUCGGGCUGUGAGCCAAGACAAAUCCUUUAGACAGGGCCAGAUCAAUUGUCCUGAUCACUGAUAACUGCUCUCAGGUCGUCUGCAUCUCCUGGGAGGAUCGCUGUUUCUACGGAACUCGAACUUACCAGCACAAAACUGAAGGGAGAGAUAUGCAGAAUAAAGCCCUACCUGGGAAGAUCUGAAGUGGAGAGCGUGUGUGUCCUCAGUGGCACGGUGUCCUCUGAGGACGUCCAUGUGUGGCUGUCCCUUAUGCUACCUAUUCCGGAAGCUCCAGGUUUUAGUGUUCCGAGUUUCUGCCCAGGCUUCCAGUGUCAUGAUUGACAGCCAUUUUCCUCUCUCUUUCUGCUUUCUGCCCCUUGGUCCUCCUGGUCUGGCCAGCCCCCUGCCUGAUAUUAUAGGUGUCCUAGCCCUGCCCUUCAUCUGUCAGAUGAAGGAUCACAUGUCCAUGUAAGCUCUCUGGUCACCGAAGCCUGGAGUGUGAUCCCAAGGGCCUUAGAGAAACAUGACACCCCAUCAGUUGGGGGAAUUCUGCGGUUGCUCCCCCAAGGUCAUCACAUCCCUGGCUCACACUCCCUUACUUUAGAAUUAAAAUGUCAGUUAUUCAGUAGGAGCUCCAAGGUCUU
rnacentral:lncRNA from 1 species